CGGUCUGCCGCCUCUAGAUCCUUCUUCUUUGGGAGGUGUUGAUAUCAGCACUUUGCAGAUAAUAAAGAAUGAAGAUCUUGAAGAGCUCAGAGAACUGGGUUCUGGUACAUUUGGAACUGUUUAUCAUGGGAAAUGGAGAGGGACAGAUGUUGCCAUCAAACGGAUAAAGAAAAGUUGCUUCACAGGUCGAUCAUCAGAGCAGGAAAGAUUAACAACUGAGUUUUGGCGGGAAGCCGACAUUCUAUCAAAGCUUCACCAUCCAAAUGUUGUGGCAUUUUACGGUGUUGUGCAAGAUGGACCUGGAGGAACCUUGGCCACCGUGGCAGAAUUUAUGGUUGAUGGUUCUCUAAGGCAUGUUUUUACUCCGCAAGGAUAAGCAUCUUGACCGCCGAAAGCGCCUCAUAAUUGCAAUGGAUGCUGCAUUUGGGAUGGAAUAUUUGCACUCAAAAAAUAUUGUGCAUUUUGAUCUGAAAUGUGACAAUUUGCUGGUGAAUUUGAAAGAUCCUUCAAGCGUCCCAUUUGCAAGGUUGGUGAUUUUGGCCUGUCAAAAAUCAAACGAAAUACCUUAGUUUCUGGUGGAGUAAGGGGAACUUUACCGUGGAUGGCUCCUGAGUUGCUAAAUGGCAGCAGCAAUAAAGUCUCUGAAAAGGUGGAUGUGUUCUCCUUGGUAUUGUUUUGUGGGAGAUUCUCACUGGGGAGGAACCAUAUGCAAAUAUGCAUUAUGGUGCAAUUAUAGGAGGCAUAGUAAGUAACACGUUGAGGCCACCCAUACCAGGCUUCUGUGAUCACGAAUGGCGGAGGCUAAUGGAACAGUGUUGGGCACCAAAUCCAACUGUUAGGCCAUCCUUCACAGAAAUUGCUGCCCGUUUGCGAAUCAUGUCUGCAGCAGCAGCAGCAAGCCAUGGGAAAGCCCAUGGUCAGAAAGCAUCCAAAUGAUGCCAAUCGUUGAUGGUGGAACAGUAUUUUUUGUGCACUCAUCUGUUCUUGCCACAUUUCAUCGAAACGAAAAAUUCAUUUUAUUCAAAUUUAAUUGCAUGGUCUUGGAGAAAGGUAGCUUGUAUAAUGGGAGAAUUAGCUGCUCCACAUGUCUGGAGUUGGCAGGACCUUGUUGAAACUGUCAAGACAGAUCAACAUCGACCUCGUACAUCAUGGGUGAACGAUCAAUGGUUCUUUCAUGGUAUAUGCUGCUUUUGUGAAUUUCUGUCUGAAAUAUGCACGCUGAUUUAUAGGUUGCGGUGGUAUCUUCCCAUGCAAUACUUUGCUGAUGCUUUGAUUGGGUUUCCCGACUUAUUAGUCGCUUUGGUUGGGUUUCCUAUCAUCAGAUUCAGUCACCAUGACGAGGACAGCAUAUUUCCUGUGCA